rnacentral:rRNA from 1 species
GAUGAACGCUGGCGGCGUGCCUAAUACAUGCAAGUCGAGCGAACAGACGAGGAGCUUGCUCCUCUGACGUUAGCGGCGGACGGGUGAGUAAAACGUGGAUAACCUACCUAUAAGACUGGGAUAAAUUCGGGAAACCGGAGCUAAUACCGGAUAAUAUAUUGAACCGCAUGGUUCAAUAGUGAAAGACGGUUUUGCUGUCACUUAUAGAUGGAUCCGCGCCGCAUUAGCUAGUUGGUAAGGUAACGGCUUACCAAGGCGACGAUGCGUAGCCGACCUGAGAGGGUGAUCGGCCACACUGGAACUGAGACACGGUCCAGACUCCUACGGGAGGCAGCAGUAGGGAAUCUUCCGCAAUGGGCGAAAGCCUGACGGAGCAACGCCGCGUGAGUGAUGAAGGUCUUCGGAUCGUAAAACUCUGUUAUUAGGGAAGAACAAAUGUGUAAGUAACUAUGCACGUCUUGACGGUACCUAAUCAGAAAGCCACGGCUAACUACGUG